UACAGAGGGUGCAAGCGUUGCUCGGAAUUAUUGGGCGUAAAGGGUAGGUAGGUGGUCUUAUUUGUCUGGGGUGAAAGCCUCGAGCUUAACUCGAGAAGUGCCCUAGAAACGGUAAGACUAGAGUCUUGGAGAGGAUCGUGGAAUUCCCGGUGUAGCGGUGAAAUGCGUAGAGAUCGGGAGGAACACCAGAGGCGAAGGCGGCGUGCUGGGCCUGACCUGACGCUCAGACGCGAAAGCAUGGGGAGCGAAC
rnacentral:rRNA from 1 species